ensembl:lncRNA
GACAGGCGUCUAACACACACACACACACACACACACACACACACACACACACAGCCACCAGGCCUCCCUGUGCUGCAGUUCGGUCAUUCAACCCUUUGAGUAGCCGAGUACUGGUACAGAUAUUUGAUUCCUCCUGAUGUAGCUUUUCAUUUGCCGUAUUGUAGAAUGUAGCACGAGGACACUAAAAUGAGCAGAGGUGAAUUUUAUGCUCGGGAAUAUUCCUGUUUUAUAGGAGCAAUUAUGAGUAAUGAUGAAACAAAUAAAUCAGACGAUGCACAAGCAGCUUCUGAUCCGAUCCUCUGCAACCUUUGAAUGAGCUCAGGGACGACGUGGGGAAAGAAAUCAGGGCGCUGGAGGGAAUUGCGAGCCAGUACAUGUUACGAAUUUAGAAAUCAUGAAAGCAGUAAAAAGAAACUCAACAAUUCUCCUUUUGGGGUCUCUAGAGAAGCGCUGGCUUUAGCUGCUCCCCGUGCCACAUGGCCCCAUCCAGGGGCCCCAACACACCCAGGAGAUGCUACGUGCUGUGUCUCUUGGGGGUUUAUUGAAAACUUCGACCCACACAUCGCCAACAUCACAUUAAUACGUCUAUCGGCGCUGAGGAGGCAGCGAGGGAUGAAACCAUUACCCGCCGGUGAAGACAAAGCGGCGGGGCAGAUAUGAGCCUGGAGAAGUCCUGGAGAAGUCCUGGAGAAGAAGCAGCCGGUGUUUUUGAAGGUGAUUCAAACCAGAAGCCCCCCGUUCAGAAGCUUGUUUUCUUGUGCUGUGCGGCAGAGCAGAUGGGAGGCCUAUCAGAAGCAUUCCGUGGGGACGUUCUUUUUAAUGCUUGUAUGUGGCUGCUAAUGAGGAUCAAGAGGUCUACGUUCAAAUUAAAAACAAUAAUACAGUGUUUCUUUAAAGGCCACAACCCUGGAGGAGUUCCUGAGAGCCGUCCUGCACAGCGCAGCACGUCACGGCCUUCCAUGCAGUAUUUCAUGUCCCCGUCUGCCCCCUGCAGGCCCUGCUGCUGUGAUUUAGAGCCAGAUGAGAGAGGAGGACGCAGGAGGCCCUGGAUGAAGGAAUGCUUCCACCCUUCCUGAUGUUAACUGCCCCACUGGGAGGAACACCAGCAGGGACCUCUAAGGAUGCGACACUGCAGAGCUUUCACUCAAAACCCCCACGUCAGGUCAUACUUUUUAGAGGUGCUCUAAAUCAGUGGCGCACAACCUCCGAGUCAUUCGUGUGCAAAAUAUAAAAAAUGUUUUGAAUUUGGAAAAAUGGCGGCAUCCUCUCCCAAUUACAUGUGCUUGGUCCUGUUUUUGGUCUGACGCUUUACUGCUUGGUUGUACAAUGUUUUCAUUAUAAUCCUACAAACAACGUAACAGCUUUUGCCUGGUCAGCGUCAGCCAGAACUAUUGCUGUUUGCUUGGGGGUUCAAAUACUUAUUUUCUGCAUCAAAUGCAAAUAAAGUCAGAAAUGUUAUAAAAUGCAUAUUUCUGGAUUUUUUUGUUGAUAUCCUGUUUCUCACUGUUAAAAUACACCUACCAUUAUAAUUAUAGAUCACACAUUUCUUUGUGAUCAAAGUGACCAAACUUGAAAUACUUAUUUUCCCCACUGUUUAACUAAUAUAAGUUAAUUUAGUAAACGCCCAAAUUAUUUCCUAUCAAUUUAUGCAUUUACAGGUGUCUCUGUAAUGGACUCCUUUGAGCCCACUAUUGUGGCAGAGCACGAGGCUUCAAGUGCCCCCACUGGCUUGGGAAAAAUGAAAAGCCCCGCCUUCAAAAUAAAAGCAUCGAAUUCUACACAUAAAAUGCCCAACGAAAUCAAGAAACAACCAAAAACAUCUAAUAAAGGCAAAACAUUCAUCAAUACACACAAACUGGGUUAGUAACAACCAUAUUGGUAAAUAAAUCCAAGCAUGAAGUUAAAUCAAUAAAUGAAACAAAAUAUAAUUUUAUUUUCAACUGACAUUUGUGUAUAAAUAAAAAAUUGGUGGAUUGAAACAAAUAUGGCAUAUAGCUAUAGUAUGUUAGCAAACAGAUGUAAUGCCACAUACACAGUGAUUUGGUGCCAUGUAACUCUCUCAUUAAUAGUCCACUAUUCACUCUUUUAGCUCUGUUUUAGUCCCCACCAGCUGCCGAGGGAAAUACAGCAGCUCCAUCCUCCACUACUGUAUGUUUACUAGGUAUAGAUAGAUAUAUCUUACUUUUUAUUCAGGGAUUGGGACAAUAUAACGGACAAAACCACAAGGAAACAAUGGGAGAGAUAAUUCCCUUGAGGUUGUCGCUUGUCCCCGUUCACACUGAACUUAAAAGCACAGAUUAGUGCGGUUUUCAGUGAGACUUUUGUUCCAGGAUGCAGAACAAAUCUGGCUUAGCCUGAAAGCUCUUUUCCAAAGCGGAUACUUGCUUGUAACACGGUGCUUUUGUGUUGAAGGAACAUCCAUAAAACACUGUGAUGGAACACGGGAGGAAUGCGUCAGAUGAUCAGAUCGCCCCUUCAGGGCGGUGAUGGAUGGGAAGCAUCUUUCAAGGCGAUCAAAGGCGUGGCACGAGUCUGGCCUUGGUUUACCAGAAGGAGCUGGUCAGGUGACGGGCCCCCGGAUCAAAGUGUCAGGAAUUCACGUUUCCACAGGAACACAUCUGUGUUGAGCCCCAUAAGGGCGCUGAACUAAUGCAGGAGGGUCUCCGCUGACCUCUUCACCAAAUUCCUGUCAAUCAGGGCGACUUAUGAUCCCAAGAGGCUUUCUGCUAUUAGUGACGUGGUUAAUUGUUUUCUUCCUGUCUUCAUACAAGAUCAUUACUGCCCCAAAGGAACCUUAUUUUCUUAUUGUCUCAAGACCAAACAAAUCCAUGUUUGAAUUCAUAAAGCAGCAGUUGUUUUCUUUGAUACUAUGAAGCAUCUGUGUGUUGUUCUACCCUGAAGGCGUGAAGCCAGAUUUAUCUGAUUUAAAAUCAGGUUGGACUUGGACAAACGUCCUGAAUGUGUUUUUGUGCCCUGCGUUGCCGGUUGACACCGACUGUUUAGCCGAGAGCUAAAGAAGCACAAUUGACUCAAACCACGAAAUGAACGGAAGUUCAGUCCACGCGCGGCAGACAAAACCAAGAACACAUUUUUACAGAAUUGGUUAACUUCUAAAGACGAUGUCCAGAUCCCUGAGUGACUCAGAGGAGACAUGUCAGAGGUUAACGUGAUAAUUCAAAGACCCUGGAACAUAUUUAGCACAGACUGGAGAACAAGGAGAGGGUAGAAAUAGACACUAGGGUAUUGCUUCGUUCAUUUUGGGUGUUUUACACUCACGUUCUCAUUCCUCUGCAAUAUUUGUAACUUAUUUUGACUUUUUAAAUUGUCUUUAUCUGUGUCCAUGUAUUACACACAAGCACAGUCACACAAUGAAUCUACAUUUCAAGGUAAAACACAGCAGUCAGGUUCUGAUCUGCUGUGUUUGGUUUGAUUAAACACUGUGUAGUAUUUAGCGUAUUGGCAGCAAUGGAAUAUAGUUCAGAUAACUGUAUUGUAAUUACUGGAUAAUCACCAAGAGAGCCCUUCUGAGCAGGUCCCACUCACUCAGCGACACACCAAACCCUGACCCUGUUUGGAAACCCCCCUGAAGGCCACCGUAGUUCUCCACAAUGCUCACAUGCUGACGGGUCUUCAGCUGGAUGCAAUAUGGGGGAUUAUGUGGCUCCGGCUGUGCAAAUGCUUCAUAUGCUAGUUUCCACCUAGCUGGCGUUUUUGCAAUGGUCCCGGAUGCAAAUUAAAACAGAAUCACCAGUAAAAGAGAUGUUAUAAAGCUCCUUAUGGUUAAGGGAACUGCAGAUCUGAGGAGAACUCUCUGACCCAUCGUAGUCUUACUAACCAUUGGUGUCAAUCUACAAUCUACAAAUCAGGAUUUGUGCGGCUUUGCCAUAUAUUCAUAUAAAUAAACAGUCAUACCGUAUGGUUACAGAGAGGAGUCGUUCGUGUUUUGACAACGUUUUAUAACGUAUCAUAAUUCCGACUUUCUAUCCCCUUUCUUCAGUGCGGAAAUGGGCUUCUAUAGUUGUGUGAACGCAUCACUCCAGCCAAUCCACAGACGGGGUUUGUGACCAAUCAGGUGUAGAGACCACGGUGACUGGCAUCAAUCAACUUUUACAUCCCGUUUGUUAGCGACACACAUCAGCCCUGCAGCACUGGCUCAGUUGCCUGUUGGCGUUUGCGCUGUCCCCAGCUGAGGUUCAACACCCCCCCUCGGCCCCUCGGUCAGUAGCCCUAAAUGGAGCGCCGUUAUGUCAAAUGAGCUAUGACGGCCGGCCCGAGAACACAUGCUCAGCCCCAAGAAGGAAACACCGUGUGCAUCCCCGGAGAAAAUGUAGAGCUAUUUGCAAGAGGGGUCAAAGGUCAGCCCAGAGCGACCCCACUUUGUGUUUGUUCAGCGGGUCCCCACCUGGAUGUGUUUCUAAUCGAGGACCAGGCGUUUAUGUGCUACAGUAGGGGGACGUUGUUUGAUUAACAGGUGGGGAGGAACAAGGUCGACGGGUCGGUUCAGUGUGUUUGUCUGUCCGUCCCCUGUUGUUUUCUUUAUCUGCAGCUCUUUCUUUGCCUUUUAACAAGUCUGUCUUUUUCUGUCUUUGUGUCUCCCCCCUGCUGUGCGGAGGUCCCUCGUCCCGGUUAAUUGCUUCUUGGCAGCAGAAAGAGGAACAAAGAUAGUUGUUGUAGCCUCAGUAGGGAGGCGUCUCCUUCUGAGCCUUUUCAUUGCUGCUUCUUUAAAAAACCCAGAAACACUCAGUAUCAGAAGCUAUUUAUUCCCAAGUAUGUUACACAAACAGUCCUUUGUCCUGGUGAUUGGUGCGAUAUAAGAAUAAAGUGAAAUUAAAUAUACCAGCGAAAAUGAACGAUAUAAAGAAAUGAAAGGAUGAGUACUUCAAAACGUGCAUGUGUGUAAAUAAGAUUCUUUAGUGACU